CCACACUGGAACUGAGACACGGUCCAGACACCUACGGGUGGCAGCAGUCGAGAAUUUUUCACAAUGGGGGAAACCCUGAUGGAGCGACGCCGCGUGGAGGAUGAAGGCCUUCGGGUUGUAAACUCCUGUCAUUGGUGAACAAGAUCGGCCGGGUAACUCCGUUGCCGGUUUGCUAGUAGCCGAAGAGGAAGGGACGGCUAACUCUGUGCCAGCAGCCGCGGUAAUACAGAGGUCCCAAGCGUUGUUCGGAUUUAUUGGGCGUAAAGGGUGCGUAGGCGGCGGAGUAAGUUGGGUGUGAAAUCCCGGGGCUCAACCUCGGAAUUGCAUUCAAUACUGCUUCGCUCGAGUACUGGAGAGGAGGCUGGAAUUUACGGUGUAGCAGUGAAAUGCGUAGAUAUCGUAAGGAAGGCCGGUGGCGAAAGCGAGCCUCUGGACAGUUACUGACGCUGAUGCACGAAGGCCAGGGGAGCAAACGGGAUUAGAUACCCCGGUAGUCCUGGCAGUAAACGGUGCGCGUUUGGUGUGGGGGGAUUCGACAAUCUCCGCGCCGGAGCUAACGCGUUAAACGCGCCGCCUGGGAAAUACGGUCGCAAGAUUAAAACUCAAAGAAAUG
rnacentral:rRNA from 1 species